GGGGGUGACAGGCUUCGACGGGGACAUGUUUGCAGAGGUUGCAGCCCGAGCUGGCGGACUCGUUAAACCCGACCACACAAAAAUAGCUGCCAAUAAAACGGCAACUCCCGCGUUCGCAUACGCGUAACGCGGCGCCGGUUCCCGACGUCUCAUGGGGAAUAGCCGGUGUUAUACAUGGGACUUUGUUCUGGAGAAUCGCCUCGCGGCUCCGGGACUAAAUAAAGCGGGGUCAGCCUCGCGUAGACGUGAGUCUAGGCGGGCAUUGUCUACUCGGACAUUAAGCGAGUAACGGUUGUAGAGUGCUUCUGUGAUCGUUUCCGGAUGCGGGUUCAAUUCCCGCCACCUCCACUC
rnacentral:tmRNA from 1 species